rnacentral:rRNA from 1 species
UUUAAAGUCUAGUCUGCCCAAUGAUUAAAUGUUUAAUGGCUGCAGUAUUUUAACUGUACAAAGGUAGCAUAAUCAUUAGUUUCUUAAUUGGAAACUGGUAUGAAUGGCUGAAUGAAAAAAUUUCUGUCUCAAUAUAAUUUUUUUUUAAUUUUAUUUUUAAGUAAAAAAGCUUAAAUUUUUUAAAAAGACGAGAAGACCCUUUAGAGUUUUAUUUAUAAUUUUAAGAUUUUAAUUUAAGUAUUUUGUUUAUUUUUAUAAGUUAUAAUUUUUGUUGGGGUGACAAUAAAAUUUUAUAAACUUUUAUUAUUUCUUUUUCAUUGAUUAUUGUAUGUUUGAUCCUAUUUUUUGGAAUAUAAGAAAAAAUUACCUAAGGGAUAACAGCGUAAUUUUCUUUAAGAGUUCAAAUCGAAAAGAGAGAUUGCGACCUCGAUGUUGGAUUAAAAUUAAUACUUGGUGUAGCAGCUAAGUUAUUAGGUCUGUUCGACCUUUAAAAUUUUACA